AAAGAUUAAGCCAUGCAUGUCUAAGUAUAAACAAAUUCAUACUGUGAAACUGCGAAUGGCCCAUUAAAUCAGUUAUAGUUUAUUUGAUGGUAUCUUGCUACAUGGAUAACUGUGGUAAUUCUAGAGCUAAUACAUGCUGAAAAGCCCCGACUUCUGGAAGGGGUGUAUUUAUUAGAUAAAAAACCAAUGGGUGCAAGCCCUCUAUGGUGAAUCAUGAUAACUUCUCGAAUCGCAUGGCCUUGUGCCGGCGACGGUUCAUUCAAAUUUCUUCCCUAUCAACUUUCGAUGUUUGGGUAUUGGCCAAACAUGGUUG
rnacentral:rRNA from 1 species